UACGGAGGGUGCAAACGUUGCUCGGAAUUAUUGGGCGUAAAGCGCACGUAGGCGGACCAUCAAGUCGGUUGUGAAAUCCCUCGGCUUAACCGAGGACGUGCAUUCGAAACUGAUGGACUUGAGUUCGAAAGAGGAUCGCGGAAUUCCCGGUGUAGAGGUGAAAUUCGUAGAUAUCGGGAGGAACACCUGUGGCGAAGGCGACCCCCUGGUUGGAUACUGACGCUGAGACGCGAAAGCGUGGGGAGCGAACAGG
rnacentral:rRNA from 1 species